rnacentral:rRNA from 1 species
CACGUAGGGGGCGAGCGUUGUUCGGAAUUAUUGGGCGUAAAGGGCAUGUAGGCGGUUUUGUAAGCCUGGUGUGAAAUCCUGCAGCUUAACUGUAGAAUUGCAUUGGGUACUGCGAGACUUGAAUCACAGAGGGGAAACUAGAAUUCCAGGUGUAGGGGUGGAAUCUGUAGAUAUCUGGAAGAAUACCGGUGGCGAAGGCGGGUUUCUAGCUGAUGAUUGACGCUGAGGUGCGAAAGUGCGGGGAGCAAACAGG